rnacentral:rRNA from 1 species
GAUGAACGCUGGCGGCGUGCCUAAUACAUGCAAGUCGAGCGAACAGACGAGGAGCUUGCUCCUCUGACGUUAGCGGCGGACGGGUGAGUAACACGUGGAUAACCUACCUAUAAGACUGGGAUAACUUCGGGAAACCGGAGCUAAUACCGGAUAAUAUAUUGAACCGCAUGGUUCAAUAGUGAAAGACGGUUUUGCUGUCACUUAUAGAUGGAUCCGCGCCGCAUUAGCUAGUUGGUAAGGUAACGGCUUACCAAGGCAACGAUGCGUAGCCGACCUGAGAGGGUGAUCGGCCACACUGGAACUGAGACACGGUCCAGACUCUUACGGGAGGCAGCAGUAGGGAAUCUUCCGCAAUGGGCGAAAGCCUGACGGAGCAACGCCGCGUGAGUGAUGAAGGCCUUCGGAUCGUAAAACUCUGUUAUUAGGGAAGAACAAAUGUGUAAGUAACUAUGCACGUCUUGACGGUACCUAAUCAGAAAGCCACGGCUAACUACGUG